AUGGAUGGGUCCCCUCCUAAGCUUCGAUUCCUCAGGCUGUCUGCAACUCUUCGCAGCAUCCUCUGCCCUCCUAUGACUGCCAUGGAUGGGGAAUCCAUCAGGAAGCUCCAUUUUGAAGACCGCCGCAAAUUCCUGCUGCCUUAUCUAGAGGAGAUGGGGUCCAUGGCCGUUUUACUGAUCCAGCAGCAAGCUCCAUCUCAAUAUUCCCCUCAACCUCUCGCUGCCGGCUCACUGUCGGAUUUAGAGGAGAUGGUAGCCACAGAGCAACCAGAUGUGGAUGAGAUGUGGAUCGCAGAAUGA
rnacentral:rRNA from 1 species